GACGAACGCUGGCGGCGUGCUUAACACAUGCAAGUCGAACGGAAAGGCCCUGCUUUUGUGGGGUGCUCGAGUGGCGAACGGGUGAGUAACACGUGAGUAACCUGCCCUUGACUUUGGGAUAACUUCAGGAAACUGGGGCUAAUACCGGAUAGGAGCUCCUGCUGCAUGGUGGGGGUUGGAACGUUUCGGCGGUUGGGGAUGGACUCGCGGCUUAUCAGCUUGUUGGUGGGGUAGUGGCUUACCAAGGCUUUGACGGGUAGCCGGCCUGAGAGGGUGACCGGCCACAUUGGGACUGAGAUACGGCCCAGACCCCUACGGGAGGCAGCAGUGGGGAAUAUUGCACAAUGGGCGGAAGCCUGAUGCAGCAACGCCGCGUGCGGGAUGACGGCCUUCGGGUUGUAAACCGCUUUCGCCUGUGACGAAGCGUGAGUGACGGUAAUGGGUAAAGAAGCACCGGCUAACUACGUG
rnacentral:rRNA from 1 species